rnacentral:piRNA from 1 species
CCGUGGCCAAGAUCUCUGAGAUAGGAAGUG